UUACUUACUUUGAUAAGGAGUAGUAGUAUAAUGGCUACUUUAGAGAGCUGUCGGUUGGUGAGAGACAGUGUAGACCUUAUAUGAACUCGCCUUGGAGUAUUGAUUGAUGAACCUCCCCUUUUUUAGAGAGAUUUAGUCGAUCACGGGCAAGCCCGUUAUUAGCUCAAAGUGAGGCUUUAAGCCUAAUUAGAGUGGUACCGCGGAAGUUGUCUUUCGUCUCUUAU
rnacentral:ncRNA from 1 species